AAAAGAUGCAAAAAAAAAAGAAGAGGCAAUUCUCCGACGUCUUUUCUGAAGUUACCCGUAAAGAGAUGGAGCAGAGAUUCAACUGAAGCCGGACUUCUGCAGAGGAGCCGACGGGGUGGCAGGAUACCGAGGUCGCCAGCCGGAGGGGUAGCGAAGGGCUGGCUACCGCGAAUGCAGGCUGAGAAGCGACUCCGGGCAAAUACAUUCUGUGUGGAUCCAGACAGCGGAGCGGACGGUCAUUGUGGGCGUUCAGUGAGCUCCCGUUGACAGUGGUCUCGCAGCCAUUUUGUUCAAACUAACAACACCCGCAGUCUCGCUCCUCUCCUCCUCCCCCUCCUCCCCGAGAGCACGCAGACCAGGAAGUGUCUCCAGACACGUCACUCCCGACCAACCAAAACAGCAGACGCCAACUCCGCCCGCGGCCCCGCCCCGCCCCCCUCCCCGCUCCCACGGAGGGCGGACAGACAGGCAGCUCACAUUUCCGAGGUAAUUGCUGAAGCAUGCAGCUCAGACUGUGCGCUCACAAAAAAGAAACAAAUGUGGCUCUGUUAUGGAUUUUGGGAGGAUGGUCUUGUAAAGACAGAAUGUGUAUAUAUAUAAUUCAAUUGCAAUCUUGCAGAAGCAAUAUGUUUAAAGAUGACGCGGACAUUUUGUGUAAUGAAAUACCAAGUACAGCAUGGUCGCUAUUUAUGCUCUAUUUUUAAGUAUGACAUAUGUUGUGUAAUAAAGACGCAACCUGUAAGAAUUGGCUGUCAAAUACAUACGGCAAACAAACACGGGGCAGCAUAUUACAAGAACGUUUGGGUUUCUACUCCCAUCAUAAGAAACAAGGACAUUUUUGGUCCAGCAUACAGGCAGUACAUACUGUGCACUACAACUUGUACGUCGGCGACAUCCUCGGAGUUGGGGGAAUACUUACCAGGCUCAGCAAUCCUGAGUAUGGACCUUCAUGUUGCGAAGCUGAUCCUACGAGAAAUUCACGAGAACCUGGGUCACAGCUGUCGCAAUCACGUGCUCUCCAAGUUACGGUCCAAGUAUUGGAUUCCUGGUGCAAACUCAGCCAUUAGGAAGAUUUUAGCCAAGUGCAAUGUUUGCCGAUGCUUACAUGGAGCUGCAGGGCAACAACAGAUGGUCAGCCUCCAUUCAGCAACACUGGAGUGGACUACCUCAGUCCGUUCGAGGUGAAACGAGGACGGAUUAAGGUGAAGAGGUACGGAGUGAUUUUUACAUGCCUGCCGGUCCUUGCAAUACACUUGGAGGUAGCGUCCUCAUUGGAUACGGACUCCUUCAUAGCCGCCCUUCGUCCGGAUCAAGACCAAGACCAGCAUGCGGGAGAGACACAUCAUGAAGAUUUACCUCCUUCAAGAAGGAGGACUUACUGGAAUAUAGACAGUAAUAUGCAGUGCUAAAUUGCAUGUUACAUUAAUUUCUGUGGCUCCACAUGUUAUAAUUUGUUAAUUGUCUCGCGAUGAAUGCACUAUUAGGGGCCGGUAUGUUAUCCAUUAUUAAGUGCAGUCUUUUGUCAAACGCAGCAUUUAAAUGCUUUAAUAGUGUUAAUCAAAGAAAAUACAUGAGAUUUUAUAUCGUUGCCCGCCAUCUUUGACAAUACGAACCAAUGAACUAACCAAGACAUACCUCGCAUUUUCUGCACCCUCAUGGUGCAGCUAGAGCAUAAAAAUCAGUAACUACCCCAAAUGUUACUCAAAUAAAUGUACUUUAUGUAGUUGCAUUUGA